AUGGUGUCAAUGCAAUUAAGUCUGUUUUCAACUGUGUUUCUGAUCACACUAACAGGUGUCAGCUGUGAAGAACUCACUCCAGUCAACAAUGAAGAGUACAGUUUAGAAGGCAGCUCUGUUACUCUGUCCUACAAAUACUAUCAAGCUGCAACUGGCAAUGAUUAUUUCUUCUGGUAUCGACAAUAUCCAGGAAAACCACCAGAGUUCCUCAUCUCUCAUUUAGGAACAGGGAUUCAACUAUCAGAUUCAGCACUUCGACUCUCUUUUAAUGUGAGUGAAGAUAAAACCCAAAUGAAUCUUCAGAUCUCCUCUGCUGCAGUGACAGACUCUGCUGUGUACUACUGUGCUGUGAGUAUCCAGAGUUCAGAGCAUAAAUGUGUGUUUUGA